rnacentral:rRNA from 1 species
UACGUAGAGGGCAAGCGUUGUCCGGAUUUAUUGGGCGUAAAGAGCGUGUAGGCGGCCAGAAAAGUCCGCUGUGAAAACUCGAGGCUCAACUUCGAGCUGUCGGUGGAAACUUUCUGGCUAGAGUCCGGAAGAGGAGAAUGGAAUUCCUGGUGUAGCGGUGAAAUGCGCAGAUAUCAGGAAGAACACCCGUGGCGAAGGCGGUUCUCUGGGACGGUACUGACGCUGAGACGCGAAAGCGUGGGGAGCGAACAGG